rnacentral:rRNA from 1 species
AUUGAACGCUGGCGGCAGGCCUAACACAUGCAAGUCGAGCGGAUGAAGGAAGCUUGCUUCCCGAUUCAGCGGCGGACGGGUGAGUAAUGCCUAGGAAUCUGCCUAUUAGUGGGGGAUAACUCGGGGAAACUCGGGCUAAUACCGCAUACGUCCUACGGGAGAAAGUGGGGGAUCUUCGGACCUCACGCUAAUAGAUGAGCCUAGGUCGGAUUAGCUAGUUGGUGAGGUAACGGCUCACCAAGGCGACGAUCCGUAGCUGGUCUGAGAGGAUGAUCAGCCACACUGGAACUGAGACACGGUCCAGACUCCUACGGGAGGCAGCAGUGGGGAAUAUUGGACAAUGGGCGAAAGCCUGAUCCAGCCAUGCCGCGUGUGUGAAGAAGGUCUUCGGAUUGUAAAGCACUUUAAGUUGGGAGGAAGGUCUGUAAGCUAAUAUCUUGCAGUCUUGACGUUACCAACAGAAUAAGCACCGGCUAACUCUGUGCCAGCCGCCGCAGUAA